rnacentral:rRNA from 1 species
ACUCCUACGGGAGGCAGCAGUGGGGAAUAUUGCACAAUGGGGGAAACCCUGAUGCAGCGACGCCGCGUGGAGGAAGAAGGUCUUCGGAUUGUAAACUCCUGUUGUUGAGGAAGAUAAUGACGGUACUCAACAAGGAAGUGACGGCUAACUACGUGCCAGCAGCCGCGGUAAAACGUAGGUCACAAGCGUUGUCCGGAAUUACUGGGUGUAAAGGGAGCGCAGGCGGGAAGACAAGUUGGAAGUGAAAUCUAUGGGCUCAACCCAUAAACUGCUUUCAAAACUGUUUUUCUUGAGUAGUGCAGAGGUAGGCGGAAUUCCCGGUGUAGCGGUGGAAUGCGUAGAUAUCGGGAGGAACACCAGUGGCGAAGGCGGCCUACUGGGCACCAACUGACGCUGAGGCUCGAAAGUGUGGGUAGCAAACAGGAUUAGAUACCCUGGUAGUCCACACCGUAAACGAUGAUUACUAGGUGUUGGAGGAUUGACCCCUUCAGUGCCGCAGUUAACACAAUAAGUAAUCCACCUGGGGAGUACGACCGCAAGGUUGAAACUCAAAGGAAUUGACGGGGGCCCGCACAAGCAGUGGAGUAUGUGGUUUAAUUCGAAGCAACGCGAAGAACCUUACCAGGUCUUGACAUCCUGAGAAUCCUUAAGAGAUUAGGGAGUGCCUUCGGGAACUCAGAGACAGGUGGUGCAUGGUUGUCGUCAGCUCGUGUCGUGAGAUGUUGGGUUAAGU